rnacentral:rRNA from 1 species
UACGUAGGGUGCAGGCGUUAAUCGGAAUUACUGGGCGUAAAGCGUGCGCAGGCGGCUCUCUAAGUCAGAUGUGAAAGCCCCGGGCUUAACCUGGGAAUUGCGUUUGAUACUGAAGAGCUGGAGUGUGGAAGAGGGGGGUGGAAUUCCAGGUGUAGCAGUGAAAUGCGUAGAGAUCUGGAGGAACACCGAUGGCGAAGGCAGCCCCCUGGGCUAACACUGACGCUCAUGCACGAAAGCGUGGGGAGCAAACAGG